GACGAACGCUGGCGGCGUGCUUAACACAUGCAAGUCGAACGGAAAGGCCCUGCUUUUGUGGGGUGCUCGAGUGGCGAACGGGUGAGUAACACGUGAGUAACCUGCCCUUGACUUUGGGAUAACUUCAGGAAACUGGGGCUAAUACCGGAUAGGAGCUCCUGCUGCAUGGUGGGGGUUGGAAAGUUUCGGCGGUUGGGGAUGGACUCGCGGCUUAUCAGCUUGUUGGUGGGGUAGUGGCUUACCAAGGCUUUGACGGGUAGCCGGCCUGAGAGGGUGACCGGCGACAUUGGGACUGAGAUACGGCCCAGACGCCUACGGGAGGCAGCAGUGGGGAAUAUUGCACAAUGGGCGGAAGCCUGAUGCAGCAACGCCGCAUGCGGGAUGACGGCCUUCGGGUUGUAAACCGCUUUCGCCUGUGACGAAGCGUGAGUGACGGUAAUGGGUAAAGAAGCACCGGCUAACUACGUG
rnacentral:rRNA from 1 species